CAGCAGCUCUGCUUCCUGGUCCUAACUCUGGACUGUCAGGUUUUAGAAAUAAACUUCGCCAUAUUGCUAGAUAAGAGAGCCGCUCCAUCCAAAGUGGGAUGGAUGCCGUCUCUCCUAAUCAGACCAGGUUUUCCCCAAAAAGGCUUCCAGUUAUCAAUGAAGCCCACAUCGUUUGCUGGACACCCCCUCGACAGCCAGCGGUGGAAUGACGACAUGCGGCUAUACAUGUCAUCACUGGUCAGAUUGGGGAGGGGUCCAGAGAAAACUACGGAGUCCGACAUUGUCUUAGCAUAGUUACACACCGACUCCACAUUAAUCUUAGUGACCUCCGAUUGGCGUAAACGGGUGUCAUUACCGCCGACGUGGAUAACAAUCUUACUGUAUUUACGUUUAUCUUUAGUCAGCAGUUUUAGAUAGGAUUCAAUGUCGCCCGCUCUGGCCCCAGGGAUACAUUUAACUGUUGAGCUGCCAAUAACCACAGUUGGUUUCUCUCUCUCUCUUCUCUCUAUUACAAAUAAUAUAAAUACACUGUUACUUACAUAAUCUGUGCAAAUACACACAUUCUAUUAACAUAAAUUAACUGAUUAAAAAAGAAAGAAGUUGCUGCAGAUGUGGUAUUUUUAAUGCUGCCAUUUUGUCAAUAUAUUUAAUAUAUUUUUUCCUACUUUAAACAAAUGUGUAUAUUUCAUUGUUCAAUGCAAAAAAAAGAAAAAAAAUGAAACGUUUCUAGUGUGCAUGUCCCUUUAGGGGCUCCAUACAAAACAGUUAAAUAUAAAUAAUAUAAAUAUGCUCUUACUCACAGAUACAGUGCAGAUGAUGUGUACAGACUUGUUGUUUCCUGAUUCUUGUGCUCUGAGCUCACAGUCAGUGUUACUGUUUGACUCUCAGACUGACUUCAGAUCAGAAGAUGAGUGUUUGUGUGGAGGAAGAGGAGGACAGAGCAGAGUCUCCAGUGUCCAGCUGUCUGUCUAUAAAGAGUAACUGGUCCAAAGAUAUUCCUAUACGCUUCAGAACUGAACCUGGACCCUCAGAAUCACAAGUUCAGACCAACAGACAGAGGGCAGAGUCUCCAGUGUCCAGCUGUCUGUCUAUGAAGAGUGACCGGUCCAAAGAUCUUCCUGUACAGUUCAGUAAAGAAACUGGACCCUCAGACUCACAUGAAUGCUGGUCUGCAGAAGGUUUUAGAUCAGCAUAAGAUCAGUCUGAAGACGAGAUGUAAAUAUGUGUCUGAAGGAACUGAUGAACCAGGAAGGGGAACCCUCCUCAACAGGAUCUACACUGAGCUCUACAUCACAGAGGGACAGAGUGAAGAGGUUAAUACCCAACAUGAAGUGAGACAGCUUGAGACAGCUUCCAAGAGGAAGAGCCUCCAUGACGCUCCAAUCAGGUGCCACGACAUCUUUAAAGCCUUACCUGACCAACAGAGACACAUCAGAGUGGUUCUGACGAACGGUGUCGCUGGCGUUGGAAAAACCUUCUCAGUGCAGAAGUUCACUCUGGACUGGGCAGAAGGCUUUGGAGAACCAAGAUGUCAGUCUGGUGGUUCUGCUUUCGUUCAGGGAGCUGAACCUGAUCAAAGAUGAGCAGUACAGUCUUCUCAGACUGCUCCAUGUUUUCCAUCCAACAUUACAGAAGGUCACAGCAGAGCAGCUCACUGUCUGUAAACUUUUGUUCAUCUUUGACGGCCUGGAUGAAAGCAGACUUUCACUGGAUUUCCACAACAAUGAGGUUGUGUCUGACGUCACACAGAAGUCUUCAGUCAACGUGCUGUUGACAAACCUCAUCAAGGGGAAUCUGCUUCCCUCGGCUCUCGUCUGGAUAACUUCCAGACCUGCAGCAGCCAAUCAGAUUCCUCCUAAAUGUGUUGACAGGGUAACAGAAGUACGAGGCUUCACUGACGCCCAGAAGGAGGAGUACUUCAGGAGGAGAGUCAGUGAUGAAGAUCUGUCCAACAGGAUCAUCUCACACAUCAAGACCUCCAGGAGCCUCCACAUCAUGUGUCUAAUCCCAGUCUUCUGCUGGAUCACUGCUACAUGUUGACUACAGACCAGAGAGGAGAGCUGCCCAAGACCCUGACUGACCUGUACUCACACUUCCUGCUGGUUCAGACAAAGAGGAAGAAGCAGAAGUAUGAUGUGGGACGUAAGAAGAGUCCACAGGAGCUGAUGGAGGCUGACAGGAAGGUUCUUCUGAAGCUGCGGGAGGCUGGCGUUUGAACAGCAGCAGAAAGGAAACAUCAUGUUGUACCAAGAAGACCUGAAGAAGUGUGGUCUUGAUGUCAGAGAGGCCUCUGUGUGAGUUUGUACAGAGAUCUUCAAAAGAGAGAGUGUGAUUUUCCAGAAAACAGUCUACUGCUUUGUUCAUCUGAGCAUUCAGGAGUUUCUGGCUGCAGUCUACAUGUUCCACUGUUACACCAACAGUAAGAAAACAGAACUGAAGACUUUCUUGGGUCAAAAAUAUGUUAAUUCAACUCUGGAUGUCUUCCUGAGGGAAGCAAUGAUGAAAUCCCUGAAAAGUAAAAAUGGCCAUCUGGACCUGUUUGUUCGCUUUCCUUCAUGGCCUCUCUCUGGAGUCCAACCAGAGACUCUUAGGAGGCCUGCUGGGUCAGACAGACAAGAUUCAAGAGAGCCAUCAACAACCUGAAGAAGAUGAACAGUGCUGAUAUCUCUCCUGACAGAAGCAUCAACAUCUUCCACUGUCUGAUGGAGAUGAACGACCACUCAGUCCAUCAGGAGAUCCAAGAGUUCCUGAAGUCAGAGAACAGAUCAAAGAAGGAACUCUCUUUGUUCCACUGCUCAGCUCUGGCCUACAUGCUGCAGAUGUCAGAGGAGGUUCUGGGUGAGUUUGACCUGCAGAAGUACAACACAUCAGAGGAGGGACGACGGAGACUGAUUCCAGCUGUGAGGAACUGCAGAAAGGCUCUACGUUCUGGUCAUAAGCUCUCAGAGACUCACUGUGAAGUUCCGGUCUCUCAACCCCUCCAAUCUGAGAGAACUGGACCUGAGUGUCAACAACCCUGAAGGAUUCAGGAGUGAAGCUUCUUUCUGCUAGACUGGAGAGUCCACAUUGUAAACUGGAGACUCUGAGAUUGAGUUGGUGCAGUUUGUCAGAGAUCAGCUGUGAUUAUCUGGUCUCAGCUCUGAAGUCCAACCCCUCCCAUCUGAGAGAGCUGGAGCUGAGUGACAACAACCUGAAGGAUUCAGAUGUGAAGCUGCUGUCUGAUCUUGUGGAGAGUCCACACUGUAGACUGCAGACUCUGAGGUCAGUAGAGGGUCUGAGUCAGUCCAUGCUGGUUCCAGCAGUCUUGGACUAAACACAGAUCCAGUAUUUGCUGCUUUCCUCAGUGAAGCUGUGAGAGGAGAAUGGGGACAGGCUUCAGGAUUGGACAGACAGACAGACAGAGAGAGAACAGUCAGCCAAUCAGAGAGCCAGAAGCUUGUUGUGAUCAUGUGUUUGAGUUGAUGUGAAGACGACUGUUGUUGUUGUGUUCAUGUGUUCAGGAAAUAAAGCUGGAUUCCAGCUGACAGCAUUACAA